UACGUAGGAUCCGAGCGUUGUCCGGAUUUACUGGGUGUAAAGGGCGCGUAGGCGGUGCGGUAAGUCACCUGUGAAAUCUCCUGGCUCAACUGGGAGUCUGCAGGCGAAACUGCCGUGCUGGAGUAUGGGAGAGGUGCGUGGAAUUCCUGGUGUAGCGGUGAAAUGCGUAGAUAUCAGGAGGAACACCUGUGGCGAAAGCGGCGCACUGGACCAUAACUGACGCUGAUGCACGAAAGCUAGGGGGAGCAAACAGG
rnacentral:rRNA from 1 species